ensembl:lncRNA
ACAUAGACAUAUACUGCAAUAACCUCUUUACUUCCAAAGACCUACUGAUCAAUUAUAUUUUAUUUUUAAAUCAUUUUCUAUCUUAAAAUGUAUAUGAUCUUCUCCAAUAUUAAUGAUCAUUAUAAUCAGAUUGUUUUUCUUUAUAGAGAAAGUUGGUGUGUUUGUGUGCGUGAGUGUGUAUUCCUAAUGUUUUCUGUGUAAACAAGCAAGAGCUUCAAUAUAAUGCACAUUACAGAACUUUGAAGAAAUAAGUACAACCAGUGGAAUUUAGUAGAGUCAAGAAAUCUAAAGGAAGAAUACAGAUACAUCAUAAAGGGGGAGCUAAUAUUGGGUCAUAUCCAAGAAAAAAUGGAAAUGUUGCAGACACAGCUUUCUGAACGAAGAAGGAAUAACAGAAUCUCUAUGGGUGCCUCUGUACUUGACAAAAUUCACGUGGACUGGAAAAUACAACUGAUCUGAAAAAGCAACAUGACAUUGAAGAAGAAGUAGUAAUAGGAAUGGCAAAAGAAAAAGAAAAAAACAAUUUUUCACUGGCAAGAUGGCUGAAUAGGAACAGCUCCGUUCUGCAUCUCCCAGCAAGACCAACACAGAAGAUGAGGAAGUUGAGGCACAAGUAUUUGAAAGAGCUUGACUGUCACACAGCUAGCAAGAGAGGAAGGCUUCCUCCAGAGUCCAUGCUCUUGAAAAUUGUUACAGGAAACUGUCAUUACAUGCUUCAAGUCACAUUGCUUAGCAACAGCUCUUCAAAAUUUUCAGUUAUCAGCAUGAUCACAAAAAGAGGAUAAACUGCAAAACUAAUCUACACAAGCCAGACACAUUUGCAUCUGGAAAUAUAUGAAUAAAAACC